rnacentral:rRNA from 1 species
CAGUCGUACCGGCGGAUAAUCAGCCUUUCGGGUGCGAUUCUGUGGAGUUUGAGGAGCUUAACACCUUCAUGCUUUGCAUAUUCGUGCUCUUGGGUGUACUUGCCCGUGUGGUUGGUUAACAUCAAUUUCGGGUACCAUAAAAUGGCUGGAGGAAUGUAGCUUCGAUCUUGUAUUGAAGUGUUAUAGACUCUGGUAGAUGUGACGAUUGGGGAUUGGAGGAUUGGCAACGGAUACCCCGUUUGGGGGCUACCCGUCUGAUCUCUGAAGGUUGCUCCGGUGCCGAAAGCGUGCUUACGGUCAUCGAAAGUGAUUUU